AACGCUGGCGGCGUGCCUAAUACAUGCAAGUCGAGCGAACAGACGAGGAGCUUGCUCCUCUGACGUUAGCGGCGGACGGGUGAGUAACACGUGGAUAACCUACCUAUAAGACUGGGAUAACUUCGGGAAACCGGAGCUAAUACCGGAUAACAUGUUGAACCGCAUGGUUCAACAGUGAAAGACGGUCUUGCUGUCACUUAUAGAUGGAUCCGCGCCGCAUUAGCUAGUUGGUAAGGUAACGGCUUACCAAGGCAACGAUGCGUAGCCGACCUGAGAGGGUGAUCGGCCACACUGGAACUGAGACACGGUCCAGACUCCUACGGGAGGCAGCAGUAGGGAAUCUUCCGCAAUGGGCGAAAGCCUGACGGAGCAACGCCGCGUGAGUGAAGAAGGUCUUCGGAUCGUAAAACUCUGUUAUUAGGGAAGAACAAAUGUGUAAGUAACUAUGCACGUCUUGACGGUACCUAAUCAGAAAGCCACGGCUAA
rnacentral:rRNA from 1 species